rnacentral:rRNA from 1 species
GGAAUUUUGGACAAUGGGCGCAAGCCUGAUCCAGCAAUGCCGCGUGAGUGAAGAAGGCCUUCGGGUUGUAAAGCUCUUUUGUCAGGGAAGAAACGGUGAGGGCUAAUAUCCCUUGCUAAUGACGGUACCUGAAGAAUAAGCACCGGCUAACUACGUGCCAGCAGCCGCGGUAAUACGUAGGGUGCAAGCGUUAAUCGGAAUUACUGGGCGUAAAGCGUGCGCAGGCGGUUUUGUAAGUCUGAUGUGAAAUCCCCGGGCUCAACCUGGGAAUUGCAUUGGAGACUGCAAGGCUAGAAUCUGGCAGAGGGGGGUAGAAUUCCACGUGUAGCAGUGAAAUGCGUAGAUAUGUGGAGGAACACCGAUGGCGAAGGCAGCCCCCUGGGUCAAGAUUGACGCUCAUGCACGAAAGCGUGGGGAGCAAACAGGAUUAGAUACCCUGG